GGGACACGUGGUAUCCUGUCUGAAUAUGGGGGGACCAUCCUCCAAGGCUAAAUACUCCUGACUGACCGAUAGUGAACCAGUACCGUGAGGGAAAGGCGAAAAGAACCCCGGCGAGGGGAGUGAAAAAGAACCUGAAACCGUGUACGUACAAGCAGUGGGAGCCUCUUAAUGGGGUGACUGCGUACCUUUUGUAUAAUGGGUCAGCGACUUAUAUUCUGUAGCAAGGUUAACCGAAUAGGGGAGCCGAAGGGAAACCGAGUCUUAACUGGGCGUUAAGUUGCAGGGUAUAGACCCGAAACCCGGUGAUCUAGCCAUGGGCAGGUUGAAGGUUGGGUAACACUAACUGGAGGACCGAACCGACUAAUGUUGAAAAAUUAGCGGAUGACUUGUGGCUGGGGGUGAAAGGCCAAUCAAACCGGGAGAUAGCUGGUUCUCCCCGAAAGCUAUUUAGGUAGCGCCUCGUGAAUUCAUCUCCGGGGGUAGAGCACUGUUUCGGCAAGGGGGUCAUCCCGACUUACCAACCCGAUGCAAACUGCGAAUACCGGAGAAUGUUAUCACGGGAGACACACGGCGGGUGCUAACGUCCGUCGUGAAGAGGGAAACAACCCAGACCGCCAGCUAAGGUCCCAAAGUCAUGGUUAAGUGGGAAACGAUGUGGGAAGGCCCAGACAGCCAGGAUGUUGGCUUAGAAGCAGCCAUCAUUUAAAGAAAGCGUAAUAGCUCACUGGUCGAGUCGGCCUGCGCGGAAGAUGUAACGGGGCUAAACCAUGCACCGAAGCUGCGGCAGCGACACUAUGUGUUGUUGGGUAGGGGAGCGUUCUGUAAGCCUGUGAAGGUGGCCUGUGAGGGUUGCUGGAGGUAUCAGAAGUGCGAAUGCUGACAUAAGUAACGAUAAAGCGGGUGAAAAGCCCGCUCGCCGGAAGACCAAGGGUUCCUGUCCAACGUUAAUCGGGGCAGGGUGAGUCGACCCCUAAGGCGAGGCCGAAAGGCGUAGUCGAUGGGAAACAGGUUAAUAUUCCUGUACUUGGUGUUACUGCGAAGGGGGGACGGAGAAGGCUAUGUUGGCCGGGCGACGGUUGUCCCGGUUUAAGCGUGUAGGCUGGUUUUCCAGGCAAAUCCGGAAAACCAAGGCUGAGGCGUGAUGACGAGGCACUACGGUGCUGAAGUGACAAAUGCCCUGCUUCCAGGAAAAGCCUCUAAGCAUCAGGUAACAUCAAAUCGUACCCCAAACCGACACAGGUGGUCAGGUAGAGAAUACCAAGGCGCUUGAGAGAACUCGGGUGAAGGAACUAGGCAAAAUGGUGCCGUAACUUCGGGAGAAGGCACGCUGAUAUGUAGGUGAAGCGACUUGCUCGUGGAGCUGAAAUCAGUCGAAGAUACCAGCUGGCUGCAACUGUUUAUUAAAAACACAGCACUGUGCAAACACGAAAGUGGACGUAUACGGUGUGACGCCUGCCCGGUGCCGGAAGGUUAAUUGAUGGGGUUAGCGGUAACGCGAAGCUCUUGAUCGAAGCCCCGGUAAACGGCGGCCGUAACUAUAACGGUCCUAAGGUAGCGAAAUUCCUUGUCGGGUAAGUUCCGACCUGCACGAAUGGCGUAAUGAUGGCCAGGCUGUCUCCACCCGAGACUCAGUGAAAUUGAACUCGCUGUGAAGAUGCAGUGUACCCGCGGCAAGACGGAAAGACCCCGUGAACCUUUACUAUAGCUUGACACUGAACAUUGAGCCUUGAUGUGUAGGAUAGGUGGGAGGCUUUGAAGUGUGGACGCCAGUCUGCAUGGAGCCGACCUUGAAAUACCACCCUUUAAUGUUUGAUGUUCUAACGUUGGCCCCUAAUCGGGGUUGCGGACAGUGUCUGGUGGGUAGUUUGACUGGGGCGGUCUCCUCCUAAAGAGUAACGGAGGAGCACGAAGGUUGGCU
rnacentral:rRNA from 1 species